rnacentral:rRNA from 1 species
CCUACGGGUGGCAGCAGUGAGGAAUAUUGGUCAAUGGGCGCUAGCCUGAACCAGCCAAGUAGCGUGAAGGAUGACUGCCCUACGGGUUGUAAACUUCUUUUAUAAAGGAAUAAAGUGAGGCACGUGUGCUUUUUUGUAUGUACUUUAUGAAUAAGGAUCGGCUAACUCCGUGCCAGCAGCCGCGGUAAUACGGAGGAUCCGAGCGUUAUCCGGGUUUAUUGGGUUUAAAGGGAGCGUAGAGGGGUUGUUAAGUCAGCGGUAAAAGUCCGGGGCUCAACCGCGGAGAGCAGUUGAUACUGGCAGUCUUGAGAUGUCGAGAGGUAUGCGGAAUGCGCGGUGUAGCGGUGAAAUGCUUAGAUAUGGCGCAGAACUCCGAUUGCGAAGGCAGCAUACCGGCGGCGAUCUGACGCUGAGGCACGAAAGUGUGGGUAUCGAACAGGAUUAGAUACCCGUGUAGUC